AUCACCUAAUUUAUUAACUUAUUCAACCUUGAUUGAAUGCUGAUGCUGUUCCUUAUCCUGCACUUAUAGAUGCCCAGUGCAAGAAUUUAUAAGUGAAAUCUGCUGUGACUUUAUUUGAUGAGAUGACUAAGCAGGGAAUCAAGCCUCAUGUUGUCACUUAUAAGGCAACUCAAGAAAAUUACAGUGGCAAGCAGGAAAUUUUGUCCAUCUUAAAUGCUUGCAGUCGCUGAGAUUCCUUUGGAGAUGCUUCGAUUUUAUUGGAGGAGCUUUGAUUAUUUGAUUAUCAGGUGUAUGGCGUGGCAUACAUACUUGUAAGGGCUUUCGCGAUGUAAUUUUAGAGUCUGGUUCUUUGCUGUUGGUACAAGCUCUCCACUCCAAUCAGCAUGAUCUCUCUUAUUUUGAUUCUAUUGUCACUGAUUAUGAAUUUUCUUCUUAAUUAAUUCUGCUCUAUUUCUUCUACUGGUAAAUCAGUGAACACUGUUGUCCAUUGCUUAACACAUACAAUUUAGGGUGCAAUUUAGUUUUUAGUCAAAUCUCCGGGAGUGGGGGCUUA